AUCACAUCUGCUGAGGACUUUCUAUUUGCUGACCCAAACAAAAACAUGGCCUCCUUGUUUUCUGAGGUGCAAUUUCAGUGCAGCAUCUGUCUGGAGAGCUUCAAAAACCCUGUGUCUAUUCCAUGUGGACACAAUUUCUGCCUGGAAUGCAUCAAACACUACUGGGAUGUGGUGCAUAGGUCAGAUUGUCCGCUGUGCAAAGAAACCUUCAGACAUCGCCCCGAACUCAGGAUCAAUGUGGGCUUAAAAGACAUCACUGAGACAUUUCUAAGAUUUGUUAAAGGAACACCGGCACACAGGCCAAUUCCAGCACAGAUACCCCAAGUUGCAAGAUGGGCUUUCAGAUCUAAGCCUGUUCCUUGUCCCAUCUGCUCGCAAAACAAAUUAACAGCUGUCAUGUCCCACCACACCUGGCAGCCGCCUAAUUUUGAAAAUCAUUUGGCACCUCAUCUAAGGGAUCCAGUGAUGAUGAAGCACAGGCUGACUGAUCCAGCAACCUUCAGCAAGAGUCCCCUCUGCAGACACCACAACAAGGUCCUGGAGAAGUUCUGCAAGAAAGACCACAUGCCUGUUUGCAUGACUUGCAUAGAGAAGGAUCACAGACAUCAUGAGCUCG